CAUUAGCUAUUAUCAAAGUUUUCGUGCUCAACUUUGAUCGUCCGUCUUAUUUAUAAUUUUUUUAAAUUAGUAUUUUUCUUGUUAUGAGAUGAUAAAAUAUGAAUAGUAAUUUACUUAUGACUUAUGUUUUUAUUUUUUUAAAAAAAAAUUAAAUAAGACAGACGAUCAAAGUUGGACGCGGAAAACUAUGACUGUACUUAAA
rnacentral:pre_miRNA from 1 species